CCUACGGGCGGCAGCAGUGGGGAAUAUUGGACAAUGGGCGAAAGCCUGAUCCAGCCAUGCCGCGUGUGUGAAGAAGGCCUUCGGGUUGUAAAGCACUUUCAGUGGGGAAGAAAGCCUUGGGGCUAAUACCCUCGAGGAAGGACAUCACCCACAGAAGAAGCACCGGCUAACUCCGUGCCAGCAGCCGCGGCAAUACGGAGGGUGCGAGCGUUAAUCGGAAUUACUGGGCGUAAAGCGCGCGUAGGCGGUCUGAUAAGCCGGUUGUGAAAGCCCCGGGCUCAACCUGGGAACGGCAUCCGGAACUGUCAGGCUAGAGUGCAGGAGAGGAAGGUAGAAUUCCCGGUGUAGCGGUGAAAUGCGUAGAGAUCGGGAGGAAUACCAGUGGCGAAGGCGGCCUUCUGGACUGACACUGACGCUGAGGUGCGAAAGCGUGGGUAGCAAACAGGAUUAGAUACCCUAGUAGUC
rnacentral:rRNA from 1 species